rnacentral:rRNA from 1 species
AUGUUCAUGCACUGCCUCUUCACGCACCAGGUCUGGCAGUGUUUCCAUGAAUGGACGACCACAGACUUCCCUAUGCAAGAAAUGGACUCCAAUGAUACUGAGAAUUGGUAUCUUAAGGCCAAAAAACUCCCUCCAAAGAAUAUGUGACACAACUUGGAUACGAUCACUAUCCUAGUCCAUUGGAGAACAUAGAAGGAGCAUAGUAUGAGGAUGUUUGAGCACACAAAGAGCAGUGCCGCCUGCCUAAUGGCUCUCAUCAAGGAAAACAUCCAAGCCUGGAGGGCCGCUGGCUGCAUCAUCACGAACUACACUGUUUGUGAUCUGUCCUUUUGA